AUGGAAAUUUGCAGCAAGGACAGUUUUUUUCUGGCCUAUGAAAGAUCUGUCUCUACAGGAAGGAUGACUGAAGGUGCCAUGACAUGGAUUCUUGUAGGUAUCAUAACUCAGGAGGGGACUCGGAGGCAACGACUGGCGGUUGUUCUAUUUACACCUAGAGUGGUUGACAGGCUAGGGAGCAGGCGAUUUUUCACUCGUACUUGGUCACCGAUGGAGAUGAGUUCAGGGGAAAUGUGGCUAGGAGUUUGUACAGGUCAUUUUUUUGUCCUCGCUAUGUUAUCCAUUUACACUGAUCAGUAA
rnacentral:rRNA from 1 species